rnacentral:rRNA from 1 species
AUUGGACGCUGGCGGCAGGCCUAACACAUGCAAGUCGAGCGGAUGAAGGGAGCUUGCUCCUGGAUUCAGCGGCGGACGGGUGAGUAAUGCCUAGGAAUCUGCCUGGUAGUGGGGGAUAACGUCCGGAAACGGGCGCUAAUACCGCAUACGUCCUGAGGGAGAAAGUGGGGGAUCUUCGGACCUCACGCUAUCAGAUGAGCCUAGGUCGGAUUAGCUGGUUGGUGGGGUGAAGGCCUACCAAGGCGACGAUCCGUAACUGGUCUGAGAGGAUGAUACGUCACACUGGAACUGAGACACGGUCCAGACGCCUACGGGAGGGCGCAGUCGGGAAUAGUGGGCAAUGGGCGAAAGUAUGAUCCAGUCAUGCCGCGUGUGUGAAGAAGGUCCUCGGAUUGUAAAGCACGUUAAGUUGGGAGGAAGGUCAGUAAGUUAAUACCUUGCUGUUGUGACGUUACCAACAGAAUAAGCACCGGCUAACUUCGUG